rnacentral:rRNA from 1 species
CCUACGGGUGACAGCAGUGAGGAAUAUUGGUCAAUGGACGAGAGUCUGAACCAGCCAAGUAGCGUGACGGAUUACUGCCCUAUGGGUUGUAAACUUCUUUUAUAUGGGAAUAAAAUGUUCCACGUGUGGGAUUUUGUAUGUACCAUAUGCAUAAGGAUCGGCUAACUCCGUGCCAGCAGCCGCGGUAAUACGGCGGAUCCGAGCGUUAUCCGGAUUUAUUGGGUUUAAAGGGAGCGUAGGUGGAUUGUUAAGUCAGUUGUGAAAGUUUGCGGCUCAACCGUAAAAUUGCAGUUGAAACUGGCAGUCUUGAGUACAGUAGAGGUGGGCGGAAGUCGUGGUGUAGCGGUGAAAUGCUUAGAUAUCACGAAGAACUCCGAUUGCGAAGGCAGUUCACUGGACUGCAACUGACACUGAGGCUCGAAAGUGUGGGUAUCAAACAGGAUUAGAUACCCGGGUAGUC